CCUACGGGAGGCAGCAGUAGGGAAUAUUGCUCCAUGUGGGAAACCCUGAAGCAGCAACGCCGCGUGGAGGAUGAAGGGUUUCGGAUUGUAAACUCCUUUUUUUAGAGAAGAUAAUGACGGUAUCUAACGAAUAAGCACAGGCUAACUCCGUGCCAGCAGCCUCGGUGAUACGGAGGGUGCAAGCGUUACUCGGAAUCACUGGGCGGAAAGAGCGCGUAAGCGUGAUAGCAAGUCAGCUGUUAAAUCCUAUGGCUUAACCAUAGAACUGCAUUUGAAACUGUUAUUCUAGAGUAUGGGAGAGGUAGGUGGAAUGCUGGGUGGAGGGGUAAAAUGCGUAGAGAUCAAGAGGAAUACUCAGUGCGAAGGCGACCUGCUAGAACAUAACUGACGCUGAUGCGCGAAAGCGUGGGGAGCAAACAGGAUUAGAUACCCUAGUAGUC
rnacentral:rRNA from 1 species